rnacentral:rRNA from 1 species
CAAUAGCGUAUAUUUAAGUUGCUGCAGUUAAAAAGCUCGUAGUUGGAUUUCGGGUGGGAAUGGCCGGUCCGCCGUGUCGGUGUGCACUUGCUACGCCCACCUUGCUGCCGGGGACGUGCUCUUGAGUUCACGCUCGGGACACGGAGUCGGCGAGGUUACUUUGAGUAAAUUAGAGUGUUCAAAGCAGGCCUACGCUCUGAAUACAUUAGCAUGGAAUAACACGAUAGGACUCUGGCCUAUCUUGUUGGUCUGUAGGACCGGAGUAAUGAUUAAGAGGGACAGUCGGGGGCAUUCGUAUUUCAUUGUCAGAGGUGAAAUUCUUGGAUUUAUGAAAGACGAACUACUGCGAAAGCAUUUGCCAAGGAUGUUUUCAUUAA